rnacentral:rRNA from 1 species
UUGGUUAAGUUAGAAAGGGCGCACGGUGGAUGCCUUGGCACUAGGAGCCGAAGAAGGACGGGACUAACACCGAUAUGCUUUGGGGAGCUGUACGUAAGCGUUGAUCCAGAGAUUUCCGAAUGGGGGAACCCACUAUCUUUAGUCGGAUAGUAUCCUUACGUGAAUACAUAGCGUGAGGAAGGCAGACCCAGGGAACUGAAACAUCUAAGUACCUGGAGGAAGAGAAAGAAAAAUCGAUUUCCUGAGUAGCGGCGAGCGAAACGGAAAGAGCCCAAACCAAGAAGCUUGCUUCUUGGGGUUGUAGGACACUCUAUACGGAGUUACAAAAGAAAGUUAUAAAUGAAGCGGUCUGGAAAGGCCCGCCAAAGACGGUAACAGCCCGGUAGUUGAAAUGGCUUUCCCUCCAGAGUGGAUCCUGAGUACGGCGGAACACGUGAAAUUCCGUCGGAAUCCGGGAGGACCAUCUCCCAAGGCUAAAUACUCCCUAGUGACCGAUAGUGAACCAGUACCGUGAGGGAAAGGUGAAAAGCACCCCGGAAGGGGAGUGAAACAGUUCCUGAAACCGUGUGCCUACAAGUAGUUAGAGCCCGUUAAUGGGUGAUAGCGUGCCUUUUGUAGAAUGAACCGGCGAGUUACGAUUUGUUGCAAGGUUAAGCGGAAAAAGCGGAGCCGUAGCGAAAGCGAGUCUGAAUAGGGCGCAUAAGUAACAGGUCGUAGACCCGAAACCAGGUGAUCUACCCAUGUCCAGGAUGAAGGUAAGGUAAUACUUACUGGAGGUCCGAACCCACGCACGUUGAAAAGUGCGGGGAUGAGGUGUGGGUAGCGGAGAAAUUCCAAUCGAACUUGGAGAUAGCUGGUUCUCUCCGAAAUAGCUUUAGGGCUAGCCUCGAGGUAAAGAGUCAUGGAGGUAGAGCACUGUUUGGACUAGGGGCCCUUCUCGGGUUACCGAAUUCAGAUAAACUCCGAAUGCCAUGUACUUAUACUCGGGAGUCAGACUGCGAGUGAUAAGAUCCGUAGUCGAAAGGGAAACAGCCCAGACCACCAGUUAAGGUCCCCAAAUAUAUGUUAAGUGGAAAAGGAUGUGGGGUUGCUUAGACAACCAGGAUGUUGGCUUAGAAGCAGCCACCAUUGAAAGAGUGCGUAAUAGCUCACUGGUCGAGUGACCCCGCGCCGAAAAUGUACCGGGGCUAAACAUAUUACCGAAACUGUGGAUGAACCUCUUUAGAGGUUCGUGGUAGGAGAGCGUUCUAAGGGCGGUGAAGUCAGACCGGAAGGACUGGUGGAGCGCUUAGAAGUGAGAAUGCCGGUAUGAGUAGCGAAAGAAGGGUGAGAAUCCCUUCCACCGAAUAUCUAAGGUUUCCUGAGGAAGGCUCGUCCGCUCAGGGUUAGUCGGGACCUAAGCCGAGGCCGAUAGGCGUAGGCGAUGGACAACAGGUAGAGAUUCCUGUACCAGUGCUAAUUGUUUAACCGAUGGGGUGACACAGAAGGAUAGGGAAUCGCACGAAUGGAAAUGUGCGUCCAAGCAGUGAGUGUGAGAAGUAGGCAAAUCCGCUUCUCGCGAAGCAUGAGCUGUGAUGGGGAAGGAAAUUAAGUACGGAAGUUCCUGAUUUCACGCUGUCAAGAAAAGCCUCUAGGAAGAGUAGUACUGCCCGUACCGCAAACCGACACAGGUAGAUGAGGAGAGAAUCCUAAGGUGAGCGAGAGAACUCUCGUUAAGGAACUCGGCAAAAUGACCCCGUAACUUCGGGAGAAGGGGUGCUCUAUUAGGGUGCAAGCCCGAGAGAGCCGCAGUGAAUAGGCCCAGGCGACUGUUUAGCAAAAACACAGGUCUCUGCAAAACCGUAAGGUGACGUAUAGGGGCUGACGCCUGCCCGGUGCUGGAAGGUUAAGAGGAGUGCUUAGCUUCGGCGAAGGUACGAAUUGAAGCCCCAGUAAACGGCGGCCGUAACUAUAACGGUCCUAAGGUAGCGAAAUUCCUUGUCGGGUAAGUUCCGACCCGCACGAAAGGCGCAACGAUCUGGGCACUGUCUCAACGAGAGACUCGGUGAAAUUAUAGUACCUGUGAAGAUGCAGGUUACCCGCGACAGGACGGAAAGACCCCGUGGAGCUUUACUGCAACCUGAUAUGGAAUGUUUGUACCGCUUGUACAGGAUAGGUAGGAGCCGAAGAGACGUGUGCGCUAGCAUACGAGGAGGCAAUGGUGG